AUCUGCCUGCCUGUCAAACAAAAAACUAAUAGCUCCUCAAAAUUCUUAAAUUGCCUUGCCUUGAAUAAUUGUAGAAUAGAUCUCAGCUGUCUUGUAGCACCAUGUCUAAAGUAACAUUCAAGAUAACCCUGACUUCAGAUCCAAAACUGCCGUUUAAAGUAUGCUGAUGAGACUCAUAAAGUUGUACGUUGAAGUUACAUUGCUGCAUUAUGGACGCUGCUGUAGUGCGUCAAUUCCUGGACUUUUUUCAAGACUUUGUCCAGUUAUGUCAAUCUGAAAACUGGCCUAAAAAUGAGACUACAGAGGAA
rnacentral:lncRNA from 1 species